rnacentral:snRNA from 1 species
AUCGCUUCUCGGCCUUUUGGCUAAGAUCAAGUGUAGUAUCUGUUCUUAUCAGUUUAAUAAAUGGGAUCGUGUUGUACAUACAGUGUAUAAUUUGGUUUUUAUGCUUAAUAGUAAAUACUAUUC